UAGUUCAGCGGUCAGGGAGCUAGUUCAGCGGUCAGGGAGCUAGUUCAGCGGUCAGGGAGCUAGUUCAGCAGU